AUGGCGUGUCGUCAGCUCGUGCGUGAGAUGUUGGGUUAACGUCCGUAACGAGCGCAACCCUUGUCCUUAGUUACCAGCACGUUAUGGUGGGCACUCUAAGGAGACUGCCGGUGACAAACCGGAGGAAGGUGGGGAUGACGUCAAGUCAUCAUGGCCCUUACGGCCUGGGCUACACACGUGCUACAAUGGUCGGUACAAAGGGUUGCCAAGCCGCGAGGUGGAGCUAAUCCCAUAAAACCGAUCGUAGUCCGGAUCGCAGUCUGCAACUCGACUGCGUGAAGUCGGAAUCGCUAGUAAUCGUGAAUCAGAAUGUCACGGUGAGUACGUUCCCGGGCCUU
rnacentral:rRNA from 1 species